rnacentral:sRNA from 1 species
UGCCAGCAAAGAGGCCUGAACAAGUAGGUAAUGAGACUGUCUACACAGAGGUUCUGCUGAGCCCACAGCUGCCCACUGGCAAGACCCGUUUAGGAUUAAUAUUUCAGAUCAUCUAUUCUGCUUGCUCUGAGAUUGAUGCCCAAGACACAAAGCAACCUCUAGACACUUGAGCUAAGAAUAGGUGAUCUGCAACUCUUUCACCAUCUGUAAUGCGGAGAUGCAGGAAGUUGGUGUUGGCCUAUAUCCCAGUAUCUCUUUGCUCAAUCACAGCUGUGACCCCAACUGUUCGAUUGUGUUUAAUGGGCCCCACCUCUUACUGCGAGCAGUCCGAGACAUCGAGGUGGGAGAGGAGCUCACCAUCUGCUACCUGGAUAUGCUGAUGACCAGUGAGGAGCGCCGGAAGCAGCUGAGGGACCAGUACUGCUUUGAAUGUGACUGUUUCCGUUGCCAAACCCAGGACAAGGAUGCUGAUAUGCUAACUGGUGAUGAGCAAGUAUGGAAGGAAGUUCAAGAAUCCCUGAAAAAAAUUGAAGAACUGAAG